GCAAAACCAUUUCAAAUUUUGUUUUCCAGCGUACCAUCUCCCUUGUGUAAGUCGAAGCUGGAAUUUUCUUCAUAACUUGUGUGUGUCUGUGUCUGUCCUCUCACCGCUGCUGUGGCCCCUGCUGAAAGUCGUCGUACCAACAUCAAAGGUCGUCUGUGAAAAAGUCGUAGUUGUUGCGGUCUUGAAAGCUCAUCCCUACCUAUUCCCACUCGGCUAAGAGCGUCAGGUUGACACUUCCAGAUGGCCCACUAUCAUGCUGGAGGAAACCUCACACAACCAUUAAUUUCGAUUUUUCAAUGCAGCAAAUGUGGUGUAUGGAGGACCAAAAUGAAAACUCUGUUUAUUUCUCAACAUUUAUGAGAUUUAGUGGAGAAUGGUUGUAACAAAGAUGGAGAGACAGCUGAUAAUGUUAGAGAUCUUCGAAAGAAAGAUGUCAAUGCCUUGCUUUUCAUCCAACAAGUUGUGGAUGAUGCAAUUUUUCCUUAUAUAGCUGUUGCAAAAAAGGCAAAAGAAGAUUGAGAUACUUCAUACAAAGUCCAUCAAAGCACAAAAAAAGUGGUAACUAUCAAACUGCAAACUCUUUGUAAAAAAUUUGAAAGCUCACUAAUGAAAGAUGUUUGUUUGGAAUAUAUUUCCUAAUUACUUGAUGUUGUUAAUCAAGUUAAGAAAUAUGGCGAAACCUUGAGUCAGCAAAAGAUUGUUGAAAAAAGUAUUAGGAGUUCACCUAAGAAAUAUGAUUAUGUUGUAGCUGCAAUUGAAGAGUCAAGGGUCUUGAGGGUACUAACCAUUGAUGAGCUGCAGGAUUCUCUUUAUUAUCACGAAGUUAAGAUGAAGAGAUAUGAUAAUAUUUCUAUUGAGAAUGCUUUUUACAGCAAGAUGCAGUUGUCAGAAGGUGGAAAAGGUGCUAAUGAAUCAAGUAACAAAAACAUCCCUAACAACUGGCGUCGACAUAACUUGCGUGGGAAAAAAGGAGAAAGUGGCAGUCGAUCAAAUGGGUAUAACCAGCAGCCAAGAAACAAUGAUGGUGGUGAAAAUAGGAACUGAAAAUAAUGUUAUUACUGCAAGAAGUAUGGACACAUUGAGAGAUUUUGCAGGUUUGAGGAUAAACAAGCCAACUUAGCUCAAGAGAAAGAGGAGGAUGAGACUGAAAAUCUUUUCCUUGCAUGCUUUCCAACCACAAAAACAUUCUCCAGAUGUUCAGUACAUUGAUAGUGGUUGUAGUCAUCGUGACAAGUGAUUUGAAACUUUUUACCACGCUCGAUAAGCCAGUUACUAGCCAGAUUACUAUGGUUGAUGAAAUGUUAAACAUAACACAAAGAAAAAUACAAUUAUGAUGAACUCUCUUGGCUUGAAUUGUAUUCAAAAUGUGUUGUAUAUUCAUAAUUUGGACUUAAGUUUGCUAAGUGUGGGACAACUUUUGUUGAA